GGGUUUCUGGCAGAGGUCAACAUAUCUUUUCAUGUACACCUUUACAACAGCAGCAGGAAGAAGCGCCUGCCAAGUUUUAUUUCCAAAAAGUCAAGCUCCGUUAGGUCUUGGGACCUAGAGAAGCCUCGCUCACAGGAAGCCUUCCUUCAGCACGAGCAACUUCCGUAACUCACGCCUCUGGGAGCAGAGGGGAUGGGAGCGCUCCUGGAUAAGCGAGGCACCUGGUCCCCCAUUUGUCAUCUUCCUGAGGUCACCCACCAGCUGCCUGUCCUCUCAACACCCAGCCUCGCCACCGCGGCCAAGGCAUCCUCCCUCACUCACGUUUCCAGGUCUGAACUUCCAGAUACAGUAAAUCAAUCCGCCAUCACUGAAACCACUCCAACAACUGCAAGUAAGCACUUUAACACCCUUGAGCGGCCUCGCUGCAUAACAAGGACACUGCAGUCCUAGCUGGAAUCCAGCAAAGCACUCGCUCUGCAGGACUAGUAUAGAUUACACUUUGGAGGACUGCAGAACUGCAGCUACUUUUAGUCUAUGACUAAAUCAGGCUCCACUUGUACUUGACCCCGAGAAGAAUGCCAUUGAACACAAGGGCCUCUUCUCAGCUAUGAUCCCCUAUCUCUUCCUUUUCAAUGGCUAAAAAGACUAUUAAGCCAUCAUUUCUAAUGGCAAGGUAGCUCUCUUCUUAACAUGUUGUGGAAAUGUUUUGGCAUGGCUCUAUCUUCAAAUUCUUCAUCUUUCCUACUGCCUCCAACUCCACACACUACAUUUAGGACACAGGUCACCAGAAGAACAUGGAUAUGUUUAAGUAGUUAUUACUACUCUGAGGAAGUUUGCCACUGUUUUGUAACUUACUACCUGAGUCAGGAUUGUUCUCAUAGGCUUAUCUUUCUUGUUUUUCCUUAUAAGAAUAAGCAACUUCAGUUUUAAAGACAUCACUGUGUCUUUCCUCACGGCUAAGGGAACAUUUCCCUGGGUUUGAUUCCAUGAAUACAGCAUCUCCUCCGUAGGCAAAAAGAACACAGCUUUUAUUCUGACAGUUCUUUUGGACACACAAAUUCUUCUUUUAGCAUAAAAAUUCCCAACUGUUCCUCACUCGCUGACUCUGUCUCUGACUUCUGCACACCCCACUGCGCACCAUAAAUCCCUAGUGCACGGCAAGCAAUCCAUAUUGAUGAACUGGGGCUUUGAGUGAGCUACAUGAAAGAGAUUCCUUCUGGACCAGCUUCCAUGUAAAUUACACAGCUGUGAAGCAAAUGAAGCCAUUUCUGAACAGAGCACUCAAUCAGGAACACCUACAGCAACAGGAUGGAGAUGCACAGAGACUUUUUUUACCCCCUUUUUUCAGUACAUUUGUGGCAAGAGGUCACAAAGAUGGUCAUGACUGUGCCACAACUGCAGAGUGCAGCAUAGACUGCUGUGAGCAGAGAGGAGAUCUUUUUGCUCCAGAAGCUCUGGUAAGGACCUUGACUUUGGGCGCAAGGCUGGAAAAUGGACUGGCCAGCACACUUUCAGAGGGUUUUUCACAUUGAAGGACUGUGUUUUAGUCCCAGCAAGA